CCUACGGGGGGCAGCAGUGGGGAAUAUUGGACAAUGGGGGCAACCCUGAUCCAGCCAUGCCGCGUGUGUGAAGAAGGCCCUCGGGUUGUAAAGCACUUUCAGUGAGGAAGAACGCCUGGUGGUUAAUACCCAUCAGGAAAGACAUCACUCACAGAAGAAGCACCGGCUAACUCCGUGCCAGCAGCCGCGGUAAUACGGAGGGUGCGAGCGGUAAUCGGAAUUACUGGGCGUAAAGCGCGCGUAGGUGGCUUGAUAAGCCGGUUGUGAAAGCCCCGGGCUCAACCUGGGAACGGCAUCCGGAACUGUCAAGCUAGAGUGCAGGAGAGGAAGGUAGAAUUCCCGGUGUAGCGGUGAAAUGCGUAGAGAUCGGGAGGAAUACCAGUGGCGAAGGCGGCCUUCUGGACUGACACUGACACUGAGGUGCGAAAGCGUGGGUAGCAAACAGGAUUAGAUACCCCGGUAGUC
rnacentral:rRNA from 1 species